UACGUAGGGUGCGAGCGUUUGUCCGGAAUUACUGGGCGUAAAGAGCUCGUAGGUGGUUUGUCGCGUUGUUCGUGAAAACUCACAGCUUAACUGUGGGCGUGCGGGCGAUACGGGCAGACUGGAGUACUGCAGGGGAGACUGGAAUUCCUGGUGUAGCGGUGGAAUGCGCAGAUAUCAGGAGGAACACCGGUGGCGAAGGCGGGUCUCUGGGCAGUAACUGACGCUGGAGGAGCGAAAGCGUGGGGAGCGAACAGG
rnacentral:rRNA from 1 species